rnacentral:lncRNA from 1 species
GUUUAUUACAUUAUUUGGUGAAGAAUGUAAUUUAUGGUGUUUAUUACGUUAGUGGAAUCUCGGUAAUAGUUACCUCCGAAUGCAAGUAGAAGUGUUUAAAAUAUUGCAUGCAUAUGAGUCUUUAUGAAAUGUCUCAUACUUAAUGAUGUAAUUUGGUGAAUUAUGUGAUGAUGUGGUUUGGUAAAUUAUGUGAAUUAUGUGAGUGGUGAAUUAUGUGAUUGCGAGAAAAUGUGUACAUGAUAAUGUUUGUUACUUGGUGUUGUUGUUCGUAACCACGAUGGAGAUUGGAUAGUUGGUUUUUCUCACUAUGAAGCUGAAGCUGAUGCGUUAUUAGCUGAGUUACGUGCUAUCAAGAUAGGUCUUGGUUUUUGUAGUGAAAAAUGUUAUGUCAACAUUAUUUGUGAGAGUGAUUGUUUGGAAGCAGUUGACCUGAUUAUUGCUGGCCGUGAUCAUACCUUGCACACUUAUACUACUGACAUCCUUCAUAUUAAAGAUGCUCUACAUGGAAGUGGAAAUACAACAUUGGUGCAUGUUCUUAGAGAACAAAAUAUGUGUGUAGAUUUUAUGGCUAAGGAAAGAUCACGUAUCAGAUGCUCUACUCGCUUGAACCCUCCACAUGGCAUGGAAUCUUUGAUCUUGAAAGAUAAGCUUGGAACUUAAUUUUGACUAUCCCUCUUUUUUUUUCUUUUUCUUUUGGCCUGGUACAUUGUAACACUACCAAAAAAAUGUAUUUAUUUAUGUUAGUUAAAUUUAAAAUUCGUGUACAUAAAUAAAAAAUAUCAAUAACAAUUCAAAAUCC